GAUCAUAACCAGAAGCAGCCGAGCUAACCGCAAGGAGGCAGGCUACCAAGGUUGUGGGCAUGAUUGGGGUGAAGUCGUAACAAGGUAGCCGUAGGUGAACCUGCAGAAGGAUCA
rnacentral:rRNA from 1 species